GCCUGUGUGGUGUAGUGGUCUGAGCACUGGACUCUGACUCUGGAGACCAAGGUCCAAAUUCCAGCUCAGCCA